rnacentral:rRNA from 1 species
GAAUUACUGGGCGUAAAGCGUGCGCAGGCGGUUUUGUAAGCCAGAUGUGAAAUCCCCGGGCUUAACCUGGGAAUGGCAUUUGGGACUGCAAGGCUCGAGUGCGGCAGAGGAGACUGGAAUUCCUGGUGUAGCAGUGAAAUGCGUAGAUAUCAGGAGGAACACCGAUGGCGAAGGCAGGUCUCUGGGCUGACACUGACGCUCAUGCACGAAAGCGUGGGGAGCAAACAGGAUUAGAUACCCUGGUAGUCCACGCCCUAAACGAUGUCGACUGGUUGUUGGGGGUUUGACACUCUCAGUAACGAAGCUAACGCGUGAAGUCGACCGCCUGGGGAGUACGGCCGCAAGGUUAAAACUCAAAGGAAUUGACGGGGACCCGCACAAGCGGUGGAUUAUGUGGAUUAAUUCGAUGCAACGCGAAAAACCUUACCUACCCUUGACAUGUCCGAGAGCCUGCUGAAAGGCGGGUGUGCCCGAAAGGGAAUCGGAACACAGGUGCUGCAUGGCU